CCAGCUCCAAUAGCGUAUAUUAAAGUUGUUGCGGUUAAAAAGCUCGUAGUUGGAUUUCUGCUGAGGACGACCGGUCCGCCCUCUCGGUGAGUAUCUGGCUCGGCCUUGGCAUCUUCCUGGAGAACGUAGCUGCACUUGACUGUGUGGUGCGGUAUCUUGGACUUUUAGAGGAAAUUAGAAUGUUUCAAGCAAGCACGCGCCUUGAAUACAUUAGCAUUGAAUAAUAAGAUAGGACCUCGGUUCUAUUUUGUUGGUUUCUAGAGCUGCGGUGAUGAUUGAUAGGGAUAGUUGGGGGCAUUCGUAUUUAACUGUCAGAGGUGAAAUUCUUGGAUUUGUUAAAGACGGACUAUUUCGAAAGCAUUUGCCAAGGAUGUCUUCGUUGAUCAAGAACGAAAGUUAGGGGAUCGAAGACGAUCAGAUACCGUCCUAGUCUUAACCAUAAACUUUGCCGACUAGAGAUCGGAGGUCAUUAUCUAUACGACUCCUUCAGCACCUUAUGAGAAAUCAGAGUCUUUGGGUUCCGGGGGGAGUAUGGUCGCAAGGCUGAAACUUAAAGGAAUUGACGGAAGGGCACCACCAGGAGUGGAGCCUGCGGCUUAAUUCGACUCAAC
rnacentral:rRNA from 1 species